GCCGCCCACUGUGACUUGCCUGUGGGCGUGCUGGCAGCAUAGAGCAGCUUUUCGAUUGUGCGUCAAGAAUCUAGCAGAGCAAGUUCGUAUGAAGGUCUGGUUAUUGAAUGGUGUGAGGGUUGAAAAUAUGCUUGGCAUAUAAUGUGACUGGCCUUGGGUGUAGGCAGCUAUCAUGAAUUGUUGGGGGCACAUACAGAACGUAGGGUAGGGAACAAACGGUCUUUUGUUAGAUAACAGGAGCCAGGUGUGUGAUAACUGUAUCGAGUGCAUGAGCGCAUAGUUCAAUAGUAAUAUCCUCUAAAACGCUCUGGUGGCAAACAAACUUUGCUGCUCUGUUUCCAAUUGUCCACAUGAGGGAACCUGUUCAAAUACAGAGAGCUGUGAAAGCAGAUGCAGCUGAAGAGGAGUGGUACUCAGUCCUGGUCCUGGGGACUCAAAGGGGUGCAUAUUUGAGUUUUUGCCUUAGCACUACACAGCUGAUUCAGAUGAUCAACUCAUCAUCAAGUUUCAAGUGAUACCUUGUAACUGGAGAUUCCUUCAAAACGAUUGCCAACAGUUACCGUGUAGGGCACUGCAAGAUUGGGUGACCAGGGCCAUCUGGGACUGCCUCCUGGGGGAAUUCAGGUGUGUGAAGGCUACCUGUGUCCUGCAUAACUUCAUGAGGAUGGACACGAGGACCAGGAGCGGCUCUGCAGCUCGACACCGUGUGCCAGAGGAGAAGUCUGCUGCUCUGCAGGAUGUUUCAAGGAUAUGUUUUGAUGUGAGAGAGGAUGCCAACCCCCAGUCUCAUCAAAGCCACAUCAAAGCCACAUCACCCGCUCUUAAGAUAACCUUCGGGCCGACUAGAUACUAUGUAAUUGUGAUGAACUGAGAGAAUAUUAGCAUAGCACUGUGAUUCAUUAAUCAUAUGCUGUCUUCCCUGCUCCUGUUCUUACCUCUUUCCCUUUUUGUCUUUAACACCUCUCUCCACCUCUUUCUUCCUUUGUUUUUAUAAUACACACCAAAUGUGCAGUGAAGUGCAGAUUACAAUUACAAUAUUAUAAUGCAUGUAUUAUGUAUUUAUAGCACUUGUCUCUCAUUUGAUGAAAUACACCUGUCCUGUUUAUCAGAUCAAUGCAGAUGAAGGGCAUUAGAUAUUGAGAUGAACUGGUUUUAGACAUGACACAUAGGAUGUGUAGCGUACUGUUUUUUUUAUUUUUUUAUUCUAUUUUUGUAUAUAUGAAUUACAAAUCAGCCUUUAAUUAGUUAAAUCCUGGUUCUAGUCUGUUAGUUACAAUGUGUAACCAUUAAUGUCCCAGGACCAAGAUUGGUAAACACUGUUGAAGUGUAUAAUUGUAAUACAUACAUGCAGACACAGCAUCCUUCAGACUGGAAUUUGAUACUAUUGGAUAUGACUGAAAAAUUGUCUCAAAGACAUUCAUACCUGAACUCCACCUUUAUUUGCCAAGGUAGAGUACAUGAUCAGUGAAUAUAUUAAAUGUACAGGCUACAAUGUGGGGCUCUCAUGCAUGGUAAUAACUACAUGUAUAUACGACUUGCAUUCUUGGCACAACAUGAUAUUAUAUUCUACUCAAUCCAUAGGCUUCAUAAAUGUCAUUCAGGCUGUUUUGAAGUUGAUACAACUGGCUAUGAUAGCGGAGGUUCAUAGCUCGGUUCUGAACUAAUAUGUAUACCAAACGUUUGGGUCCAUACACAGAUCGUCUAGAUAGAUAGCUACACAUCCAUGGGCAUACAGGGAUUUUAAUCAUCCACUUCAUCUAUCUGCAUUGCAUGGCAGAUAUCAGCAAGGCAAGCUUACAAAAUUGUACAUUCAAUUUGCGCUAAAUGCUUUAUUUAGCUAGAUUCUUUACAUCCACAUAAAACAUAUAUUGACUGAUAUUGAUUUAUUUAGGCGGGGCUAAUUAAUAUUUUAGGGGGGCUUUAGUCCCAAGGCUAUAGGCCAAGCAACGUCCCUUGUGUCGAGGCACAGAUCUGGGGAAGGGUACCAAAACAUUUCUGCAGCGUUGAAAGUACCCAAUAACACACUGGCCAUUCUUAAAUGGAAGAAGUUUGGAACCACCAAGACUCUUCUAGAGCUGACCGCCCGCACAAACUGAGCAAUCGGGGGAGGUGACCAAGAACCCGAUGGUCACUCUGACAGAGCUCCAGAGUUCCUCUAUUGAGUGCCUUUUGGAGUUUGCCAAAAGGCACCUAAAGGACUUUCAGACCAUGAGAAAAUAUUCUCUGGUCUGAUGAAACCAAGUCGAACACUGAAUCUCAAGCGUCACAUCCUUUUGAAACCUGGCACAAUCCCUACGGUGAGGAAUGGUGAUGGCAGCCAGCAUCAUGCUGUGGGGAUGUGUUUCAGUGGCAGGGACUGGGAGACUAGGAAAUAUGAAAAAGAGAAAGGGAAAG